rnacentral:rRNA from 1 species
UACGUAGGCAGCGAGCGUUGUUCGGAAUUACUGGGCGUAAAGAGUGUGUAGGCGGUGCUCUAAGUUCGGUGUGAAAUCUCCUGCUUAACUGGGAGGGUGCGCCGGAAACUGGAGUGCUUGAGCGUGGGAGAGGAAAGCGGAAGUUCCUGGUGUAGCGGUGAAAUGCGUAGAUAUCAGGAGGAACACCUGUGGUGUAGACGGCUUUCUGGACCAUUGCUGACGCUGAGACACGAAAGCGUGGGUAGCAAACAGG